AGAAAAAAACUUGGAAAACAAGGAUGAAAGAGCUAAAGGCAUUGAUAAUGCAAAUGGUAGUCAAAUCGCAAUUGAAUGCACAAAUUCAGAAACAAAAAAGUCAUCAGAAGGAAAUAUCAAUACCAUACAUCUAGGAGGAAGCUUGUAUAUUGAUGAGAUUCAACUAUUUAGUGAAGCAGAAAAUUCAGAAGCAAAUCAAGAGCAAAGUAUAGACGAAAACCAAAACAAAUCAGUGCAAGUCAAUGCAAUAAGGGAUGCAAAUCUAACCACUAUUAAGGAAGCAGCACUAGAAACUCAUAACACCGCGACACACGCGGAAAUAAGAGAUGUAGAUUUGGAGGAAGAAUCCGCUGUUCAAAUUUCCCUUAAUGUUGCUAAGCAUGGGGGUAUGUCUCCAAGGCAUAUUGAACCUGUGAAAUUUCCAGCAAAAGAAAAAAAGAAACAGUCAAAAGAGAACUUAAGCAUGGGGGUAUGUCUCCAAGGCAUAUUGAACCUGUGAAAUUUCCAGCAAAAGAAAAAAUAAACAGUCAAAAGAGAACUCAAAUGCAGAAUCCAAGGGAGUAAAAACAAGGAGCAAUCUGUCCAAACACAAAAACAUCUAAUGGAUACCAUUAUCUAGAAUGUGAGAUCAGUAAAUACAAAGCAAGCAUUUCAAAGGCUGGUUACAAUGCAUCGGAAACAUAAAUUUCAAUUCAUUGGAAUAAUUGAACCUAUGCAGCAGUCUAACAAAAAGGAGAGAUAUAGAGCAAGAAUUGGUUUGGCUCAAGCUGUGGUGAAUGUGUCAAACAAGAUUUGGGCAUUUAAUGAUGAAAUUUUUGAAGUUAAUAUUUUGUAUAAUUUGACUCAAUAGUUGACUUUAAAAUUGGUGCACACUGAAACAUAUGCAGAGCUCAUCCCCACGCUAGUAUAUGCUAAAUGUUAUCGCAUUGAAAGAAUUGAGUUAUGGGAUUCUCUAUAUUCAAUGGCAUCACACAUUACUGUUCCAUGGCUAGUCGGAGGAGACUUUAAUGUGAUUUGGGAUGAGGAAGAGAAGUUUGGUGGCUUGCCAGUCUCGUUCCUCGAAGUAGAUGACUUCAGACAUUGCAUAAACUCAUGCUCUUUAAACGAUUUGGGGUUCAAGGGAAGCAUUUUCACAUGGUGGAAUGCAAGAUCAGAAGAGGACUGUAUAUCCAAAAGACUAGAUAGAUGUCUAGGAAAUGAUGAACUGCAACAGACCUUUCCUAGAUUGGAGGUAACUCAUUUGUCCAAAAUAGGCUCUGACCAUUGCCCAAUGCUGCUCAAAUGUAAUAUAAAUAAUUCCCCAGUUAAGAAGUCUUUCAGAUUUCUCAAUUUUUGGGUAACGCAUGAAUCUUUAAAAGAUGUAGUGAAAGAGACAUGGAAUGGUGAUUUUAGUGCAAAUCCUUUCAGCAAUUUUAACUACAAGUUAAAAAAGCUUAAACAUGCACUUUCUACUUGGAGCAGAGCUGAAAGAGACAUGGAAUGGUGAUAUUAGUGCAAAUCCUUUCAACAAUUUCAACUACAAGUUAAAAAAGCUUAUACAUGCACUUUUUACUUGGAGCAGAGCUACAUAUGGGAUAUUUUCAAGAAGAUUGCAAGUCUAGAGGAGGUGGUACUAAGUCAUGAAAAUCAAUUUGAAAUUAAUCCUACUCAGAGAAAUAGACAAAGAUUACGACAGGUUCAAGCUUAAUUGCUUAAAUAUUUUGCAUUAGAAGAAUUAUUCUUGAAACAAAAAGCAGGCAUGUUGUGGUUUAAAGAUGGUGAUAGAAACACAAAAUAUUUUCAUGCCCAGGUUAAUGGGAGAAGGAAAAGAGUAAAGUUAUCAAGAAUCCAAGAUAGUGAUGGUAAUUGGAUUGAAGAAGAUCACAAAAUAGCAAAGGAAGCUGUAAAAUUUUACAAGGAUUUAUUUUCUGAGUGGUCUUUUCCCAAUGAUUUUGAUAUUUGAAAACAUGUACCUCCAAUGAUAGAUCCUGGGCAACAUGAGAGAUUGAUGGCCUUACCUUCGAAUGAGGAAGUGAAGAAAGAAGUAAUGGGGCUGAAUGGGGAUUCAGCAGGCGGUCCAGACGGUUUCACUGGAGCUUUCUACCAAUCAUUCUGGGACAUCAUUGAAGAAGAUGUGGUCGGCAUGGUCAAGUAUUUCUUCUGUGGUCACCAGCUCCCAAAGAAUGUGACGCACACAAAUCUGGUUUUAUUGCCAAAGACAAAAGAAGUGAUUAAUUUCGCAGACUUGAGACCUAUCAGUCUUAGUAACUUUGUUAACAAGCUUUUCUCAAGGGUCAUUCAUGAAAGGUUGGGGGAACUAUUACCAAACAUAUUCUCAGAGGAGCAGGCAGGUUUCGUGAAGGGAAGAAAUAUCGUAGAGAAUGUUCUGCUAACUCAAGAAAUCAUUAAGGAUAUGAGGGUGAGAACUAAAGCAUGACCAAAUGUGGUGGUAAAGCUAGAUAUGACAAAAGCAUAUGAUAGAUUAUCAUGGCUUUUCCUGACAAAAGUGCUAAGAAAGAUGAGAUUUCCAGAAGAUUUUAUCGGCUUGAUAUAUGAUUUGAUUGGGAAUAACUGGUACUCUAUUCUAAUAAAUGGACAACCAAAUGGUUUUUUCAAAGCGUCUAAUUUUAUCGGCUUGAUAUAUGAUUUGAUUGGGAAUAACUGGUACUCUAUUAUAAUAAAUGGACAACCAAAUGGAUUUUUCAAAGCGUCUAGGGGAGUAAAGCAGGGAGACCCUCUGUCACCUACCUUAUUCGUUCUAGCAGCAGAAGCAUUUGUCUAGAGGUUUCAACUCACUGCAUAAUAACCGGUUUUCUGCGAAUUUUAGACUUCCUAAAUGGAGCCCAAAUAUAAACCACCUGGCUUAUGCGGAUGAUACAAUCAUUUUCUGCUCAUCAGACAAAAAGUCUCUAACACUUGUGAUGGAGGUUCUGCAAUCUUAUGAAGCAGCAUCUGGUCAACUGAUCAAUAAAGCCAAAUAUAUCUGCAUCAUUCAACGAAAGAUGAGGUGACUAACAAGGUGGAAAGGAUUACUGGUAUAUGAAAACAAUGUUUCCCAAUGACAUAUCUUGGAUGUCCUAUUUUUUAUGCAAGAAGAAGGAGUGAUUACUACCAGGCAUUAAUUACAAAGGUUAUGGACUGACUGCAGUCGUGGAAAGGAAAGCUCCUCUCGGUAGGCAGCAGGGCUAUAUUGAUCGCAAAUGUUUUGCAAAGUAUGCCAAUUCAUAUGUUAUCAACAGUUAAUCCUCCUAACUAUGUCAUUACCAAAUUACAUAGCAUUUUUGCAAAAUUCUUCUGGAGCAGUAAUGUGGGAGGAAAUUCAAGACAUUGGUCAUCCUGGACUAACCUAUGUAUGCCUUAUGAGGAAGGGGGUAUAGGUUUCAGAUCACUUN
rnacentral:lncRNA from 1 species